rnacentral:tRNA from 3 species
GCUCCUAUCGUCUAACGGUCUAGGACGCUACCUUCUCAAGGUAGAGAUUAGGGGUUCGAAUCCCCUUAGGAGCA